UACAGAGGUCUCAAGCGUUGUUCGGAUUCAUUGGGCGUAAAGGGUGCGUAGGCGGCGCGGUAAGUCGGGUGUGAAAUCUUGGAGCUUAACUCCGAAACUGCAUUCGAUACUGCCGUGCUUGAGGACUGGAGAGGAGACUGGAAUUUACGGUGUAGCGGUGAAAUGCGUAGAUAUCGUAAGGAAGACCAGUGGCGAAGGCGGGUCUCUGGACAGUUCCUGACGCUGAGGCACGGAAGGCCAGGGGAGCAAAACGGG
rnacentral:rRNA from 1 species